GUGGGGAAUCUUGCGCAAUGGGCGAAAGCCUGACGCAGCCAUGCCGCGUGAAUGAUGAAGGUCUUAGGAUUGUAAAAUUCUUUCACCGGGGACGAUAAUGACGGUACCCGGAGAAGAAGCUCCGGCUAACUUCGUGCCAGCAGCCGCGGUAAUACGAAGGGGGCUAGCGUUGCUCGGAAUUACUGGGCGUAAAGGGCGCGUAGGCGGACAGCUUAGUCAGAGGUGAAAGCCCAGGGCUCAACCUUGGAAUUGCCUUAGAUACUGGCUGUCUUGAGUUUGGGAGAGGUGAGUGGAACUCCGAGUGUAGAGGUGAAAUUCGUAGAUAUUCGGAAGAACACCAGUGGCGAAGGCGACUCACUGGCCCAAUACUGACGCUGAGGCGCGAAAGCGUGGGGAGCAAACAGGAUUAGAUACCCCGGUAGUCC
rnacentral:rRNA from 1 species